UUAAAUAUUUUUAUUUUUAAUUGUGCUAAAAAGAACAUUGAUCUACGAUCAGGUUACUAAGGUAACGAAUCUUCGUUUUCGAAGGAGGAAAUCAGUAACAAUGCCGAGAAGAAUUGUGUUUGGUAAAAUCGGUAUUAUUAUUAUCAGAAAUUUAAAAUAUAAUAAGAUGUUGUUAUUACAACAUACGAAAGAAAUAGCAUCGGCGUUUGAUGAAAAGUUUUAUUGAAAGUCUUCAUUCUUAAAAAAUCAUGCGCUAUUGAUUCGUCAAAUUAUCAAGCAAAUUUUAUUUACAAACCAAUUCCUUUUUUUUUUUAUUUCUUUUCGAAAUUUUAUUACCUACUGUUCUCAUUUAAUUUCUAAUUUUUCUAGCAGUCAUACCAAGAUCUGGCCAAUACUGUUAAAAUCUUGACAAAUUUUGUAAAAAUCUUACGUUUAAAUAUCGUGAUUUGUUUUUAGAUACUUAGAAUUUCAAUAAUUGAAAUUCGAUCUUAUACAAUUGACUACACAUUCGUAAAGGAAAC